AUUGAACGCUGGCGGCAUGCCUUACACAUGCAAGUCGAACGGCAGCACGGGGCAACCUGGUGGCGAGUGGCGAACGGGUGAGUAAUGUAUCGGAACGUACCAUUCAGUGGGGGAUAACGUAGCGAAAGUUACGCUAAUACCGCAUAUUCUGUGAGCAGGAAAGCAGGGGAUCGCAAGACCUUGCGCUGAUUGAGCGGCCGAUAUCAGAUUAGCUAGUUGGUGAGGUAAAAGCUCACCAAGGCGACGAUCUGUAGCGGGUCUGAGAGGAUGAUCCGCCACACUGGAACUGAGACACGGUCCAGACUCCUACGGGAGGCAGCAGUGGGGAAUUUUGGACAAUGGGGGCAACCCUGAUCCAGCCAUGCCGCGUGAGUGAAGAAGGCCUCGGUUGUAAGACUCUUCGGUCCGGGACGGAAUACGCAUGGGUUAAGUAACCCUCGUGUGGAGUGACGGUACCGGAAGUAAGAAAGACACCGGCGUAACUACGUAGCCAGCACGG
rnacentral:rRNA from 1 species